GUCGUAACAAGGUUUCCGUAGGUGAACCUGCGGAAGGAUCAUUACCACACAACAAAAGCAGACAGGGGGAGUGCUCCUACUUCGGACGGAAUCCCUCCUCCUCUCUCGCCAACCCUCGGUUUGACUGUUGUCUUCUGAAAGCGCGUGCUGUGGUCUCGCAGCAGCAAGCGUGGUCAGCCAGCCUGGCCGAAUUGCUAGCAAUGAGCGCCCCUUUUUUCAACCCAAACUAACCCAACAACUGAAACAUAAAGGUGGCUGCUGCUUACGGCACAGCCACUUGAAAGAACUGUAAUACCUUUACAACUUUCAGCAACGGAUAUCUUGGCUCCCA
rnacentral:misc_RNA from 1 species